UCAAAAUCCAUACUCUUAUUAUAUUUUUUCUCACUAUCUUCCUCUUUAAGUUCUCUUACUCUCUCCAUUAACAUAUAAAUUUUUUAUUUUAUUUCUUCUUAAGUUCUUCUUCUUCAUCUUCUUCUCAUUUUUUUACUUUUUCUAAUUUUUAGUCACACUUUUGGGAGGAAAUAAAAGAGUGGUUUUUUUAUUUGAUUUUCUAGAUCUGUUCUUGUAAAUAUAGGUUCUGGUACUUCAAAGAACACUAAAUCAAAAAUACCCUCAAUCUGUGUUGGAGAACUCCAACUCUGAUUUUGAGUUUGAGCCAAAGUUCCAAAGUCUCCCAAAUCUGAUAAGGGAAAGGGUAAACACCAAGUGAAGAUUGUUCAAUCAACUGAUUUGUUUGAAGACAUAAUUAGGAAAAGAAUUGUCGAGAUUUUAUAGUUUUUUCCUGGUGUUUCUAUAAUUCUGGUGUUGAUUUGUCCAUCCCCAACCACGAAGGAGAGGUGCUGUUUGUGUUUUGUUACUGUUUACAGUAUAAAAGUAAAUAUAUUGAGCAUGGACAGUAUAAAAGAAAUAAAAAUGGGCUUGGACAGUAAAAAUGUAAAGUUUGCCGUGUCCCAGUAUUUUUGAAAAUAUUUGGUAGAAAAACAGUAUUUUUGUAAGUUUCCCUAUAUUUUCUAAGCUAUGUUGAUGUGUGUGGGCUAAUAAGCUUGGGGUGAAGGAGUGUGUGGGCUGGGCCUUUUCCAUAUUCACUUCUUUAUUUUUGUUUGUUCUUCUUUUUAUUUUCUUUUUCCAGUUCAUUGUAUUCUUCUUUUGUCAUGAAACAUAUGUAGCAUCCUUUUUCCAAUCAUUAUAUUAUUUUUGUAAAUUAAACAUCAAGGAGGAAAACUUUAAGCACAAUCUAAAAGAAAUGAUAAGAAAAAAUAUAGUAUAGAAAUUAGAAAGAGUAUUGCUAUAUUAUAUAUAUUAUAUGUCUACUCUAGAGUACCAUAGAUAGAGUUUGAUGACUGAUAGUACGUAGGGUGAGUUUAUUGAUGGUCACGCAUUAGGUUACUUUAUCUUCAAGUACUUUUUUUAUUUUAUUUUAUUUUUUAACUCAAUGCUAGCUCGAGUGAGAUUUGGUAUAUAUGCAUGAUAUAAUGGUUUUAAAUAUUGUGUUAUUUGUUCCCUUAAUAAAUAGUAAUUAAAUAGACACACACACACAUUACAUUUACAUGCACAAACAAAAUAUAAUGAGCUAGUUAUUUAAUGAUACUUCAUAAUAACCAAAACUAGGUUACUUUUAUCAUAUGAAUUCAAUCAUAAUUAUCAUUAGUGACUCUGAGUAUAUUAAUUAGUACGUAUAGGUUUAUUGUGACCAUUAGACGUGGCAGAUAUGUAAAAUUUAAAACUUGAGGUGGUCAAAUACUAUAAAAAAUUGUAUUUUUAGUCCUAACAAAACUUAUAUUAAAAAUAAAAAAAUUUCAAUAAUUAUAAAUUAUCAUUCUUAUAUUAUAACUAAAAAGUCCAUGACUAAAUGUAUUAGUCACAAAAAUCAUAAUAUAUUGUGACUAAAUAUAUUUUUAGUUGUAAUACUUGUUAUGACUAAAACUAAAUUAGUAACAAUUUGUAUCUAAAUAUUAUGUUUUCGUCAUAAGUAAUUUUUUAUUGUGACUAAAAAGUUGUCACUAUAAGUAUUUUUUUAGUAGUGAAAGGUAACACUUUAACCCUUAUUAGAAAACAGAGCUUACAAAUGAUCCUUUAAUUUAAAUCACAAAAUCAUCAUAUUUAAAAUUAAUGGAGUAACUCCUAUAAUAUAAAGAACAUAUUAGUAACUAAAUCAGGACCACACAUCAAUAUAAAUGAACAAUAAUAUCUUCAUAGUUAUAUAUUCACCAAAUAGAUAGUUUUAAUAAGUCAUAAAACAACAAAAUAAUAUUAAGCAUCCAUUAUUCAUUCUCCCUAACCCGUACACACAACAAAUUAAGUCCUCCAGACUAUCUAUUCAAGUUUAAUUACAAAAUUAGUUUUCAAUAGAAAUUUUAAU